rnacentral:rRNA from 1 species
GUCGAGCGGCAGCGCGGGGGCACCCUGGCGGCGAGCGGCGAACGGGUGAGUAAUGUAUCGGAACGUACCCAGUCGUGGGGGAUAACUAUCCGAAAGGAUAGCUAAUACCGCAUACGUCCUGAGGGAGAAAGCGGGGGACCGUAAGGCCUCGCGCGAUUGGAGCGGCCGAUAUCGGAUUAGCUAGUUGGUGAGGUAAAGGCUCACCAAGGCGACGAUCCGUAGCUGGUCUGAGAGGACGACCAGCCACACUGGAACUGAGACACGGUCCAGACUCCUACGGGAGGCAGCAGUGGGGAAUUUUGGACAAUGGGGGCAACCCUGAUCCAGCCAUUCCGCGUGAGUGAAGAAGGCCUUCGGGUUGUAAAGCUCUUUCAGCAGGAACGAAACGGUGGUCCUUAAUACGGGCUACUAAUGACGGUACCUGAAGAAGAAGCACCGGCUAACUACGUGCCAGCAGCCGCGGUAAUACGUAGGGUGCGAGCGUUAAUCGGAAUUACUGGGCGUAAAGCGUGCGCAGGCGGUUCUAUAAGACAGAUGUGAAAUCCCCGGGCUUAACCUGGGAACUGCGUUUGUGACUGUAGGACUCGAGUGUGGCAGAGGGGGGUGGAAUUCCACGUGUAGCAGUGAAAUGCGUAGAGAUGUGGAGGAACACCGAUGGCGAAGGCAGCCCCCUGGGUCAACACUGACGCUCAUGCACGAAAGCGUGGGGAGCAAACAGGAU